CACAAUUUGAAUGUUUUUAGAAUAAGGGUUGGUUUUACAACUAACCCUUUCUUUAAUAAUACAAGUGUUGCACGGCUGUUUUCAGUUAAUGUUAUGAAACUGCGGUUCCGACCGUGUAAUUAACGAAUACCCCGGCUUUAUUUAUAAAUUAAACGAGGCGUAAGCUUCGGCAAAAUAGAGCAUUUUCUGCCGUCUACAAUGGUAAGAACAAAAGGGAAUAAGACAAGUCAUCAUGGCCUUAAUAUUGUGGGCUAUAGACGUGCCACAUACUCCUCCACAAAGAGAAGC
rnacentral:rRNA from 1 species